AUUCCAUUGUUGGGGGGGUGGGAGGAAUUCUAUUAAAAAGUAUGUUUGACUAUUUCAUAUUGUCCCAAGUCUCUGGGGUGCCCUAUCCCUUUUUUCUUACUCUAUUUGUGUUUGAGCUUGAGUGAUUUCUAUUGACAUAUCUUCAAGUUCACUAAUUCUUUCCUCGUGGGGCAUAUUAAAGUUUACACAAGUCCAAACUUCUUCACCAUCUUUAACUCCCCUUUCAGGACUAAGUGUGGAUUGAUGAUUAGUAGAUCUCCCUGGAAAAUAAUAGUCACCAUCCCUUUUCCUAGUUUUCUCUAUCUCCAGGUCCUAAAAGAACUUUUCUGAUUUUAGGGAAACCAAAAUGAAAACUAAUUCAGGAAAUAUACCAUUUUGUAUUUUUUUUUUUUUUUUUUUUCCAUUUUGUAUUCUUUUACUGCAACAUGCUGGCUUGGAUCAGAGAACUCAGCAUAUGGAUCAGGUCUACUCUACUUAUACUCUUUCCACUUCUUACUGAACAUACCUACCCACAGACCAAGUAGUAGCAACCCAGUGGUAUGCUGGAGCCUGUUCAUCCUGGCUGUUGCCCAUACCAGAGGAGGCUGACAUAUAAACCUGUGAUCAUGCCUGAAGGACCACACGCAACAGUACAUGAGAGGAUGGAAGGUGGAGGUGAGGCAGAGUGCAUAGGUACAUACAUCUACAUGCUCAUAAUACUUUCAGUUUUGUAAUUACAAAAAAUUUUUUACAAAUUACAAAAAAUUUGCUCAUAAUACUUUCAGUUUUGUAAUUAUCAGCCAAAAUGUUUUAAAGAUUUAUUUUUUAUUUAUUUAUUUAUUUAUUUAUUUAUUUAUUUAUUUAUUUAUUUAUUUAUUUAUUGAGAGAGCAUGUGUAAGCAUGCAUAACUGGGAGGAGGGGCAGAGGGAGAGACUUUCCAAGCAGACUCCCAGCUGAGCGAGGAGCCUCACACAGGGCUCAAUCCCAUGUCCCAUGAGAUCAUGACCUGAACCCAAACCAAGAAUUGGACACUUAACCACCCAGCAGCCAUUUCCGACAUGUUUUAAACAAAAUGGUGGGAACUUGGCAUUCAUUUUUAUUACUAAACUUAUUAUUAUUCAACACAAUUAGAGGUUACAAGAAGAAAGUAUCGUUAACAGUAAUAUUCAGGAAUAGCAUGUCCUGGUUUUCUGCCAAGAACUUCCACUAAGCCCCAGAUUUCCUGUGGUUCUUGAUUAUGUUCCUGAUCUUUCUUUUUUCCAUUUAAAUCAUAUACAGUAAAAGAGGGCUCCUGAUUAUUUGGGGGCUGACUAUCCAGUCCACUGCUUCUUUUUGGUCACCUACACUACCUAAAAUAUCACCUCAUUUAUUCAGCCAAGUGAGGAAAUAUGAGAAAAGAUCAAACUAUAUGACAGUUUAGGAAGAAGAAGCAGUUUGUUACAUUUUUAUACUAAAAUCAUCUAUUACCGAUGGGAGGAGCAAGAUGGCGGAAGAGCAGGGUCCCCAAAUCACCUGUCUCCACCAAACUACCUAGAAAACCUUCAAAUUAUCCUGAAAAUCUAC
rnacentral:lncRNA from 1 species